CACGUGCUGGGAUUAAAAGUGUGCACCACCACAAUCCCCAACAGCUAGAUUAUGGAGUCUUAAAUCCAAGUUAUAUCAACGGUAAACCACACAGAGCUCCCCCAGUCCAGGCAGUUUGACGGUAGAUCCUUUUUUUUUUUUUUUUUUUUUGGUUCUUUUUUUCGGAGCUGGGGACCAAACCCAGGGCCUUGCGCUUCCUAGGUAAGCGCUCUACCACUGGGCUAAAUCCCCAGCCCCUUGACGGUAGAUCCUUAAAUGGGGAUUCACUCUGGGCGGUUACAUUUGUUCCCUACGUAGAUUAAGAAAUGGGAUAUGAAUGGACAGAUUAUAAAGUUGAAAACACAAGAGGAUCAGAGGGGAUGUGCCAGGAAAACUACCGGAAGUUCAACCCACAAGGGAGCCUCGUGGGGCAGAGUUUAUGAGUGCAAAGUUGCUGUCUGGCCAGCCCUUGGGAUGCGCUGUCUUCAGCCCAGGAACAUAACCUGGACGUAGCCCGGGAGGGGAGGAGUAUCUGGAUACACGGAAUGGCAGUUUUGACACCACUGAGACCUACCAAAGAAAUCAGAUAGUCCUCAUAAAAUGGUGAGAUGGGGCAAGCCUUGAUUAGGACAGAGGAGGUCUUGUUGGGAGGAGGCAAAGUGAGGCAACCUGGGAAAACGUCAACGUGAGCAGCUGGGUCUAGGCUGUAAGCGAGACACUACCUGGGUCUAGGGAAACCUUAGUGGUGGGGGGGCAGGUUGCAGGAGGCGGGAUUGAACACACUCUAUUAUCAUUCCAUAAGUCCCCCCCCAAAAAAUCGCUUUAUAAUUGCAGCAUUCGUCCCCUCCAUGGAGACAAGGAAAUGUGUGUUCAGGGCCAUCAGUGAGGACUGGUCAAUGGAAGGGAAGACUUAGAGCCUGAGGAGUCCUUAGCCAUAUUACAAGCCUCACCAGACCAGCUCAGAGGGACUCCAGGCUGUUAGCAUCACCCCUCCCCCCACAAAAAAAUAAAAACCAAAAUGAUAAUAAGCACCUAUUCGUCACAAUUUGUUAUGGUUAAAAGGGUUCAAAAAUAACGUCAGCAGUUCCAGCUGUGAGUCUUUGAUGAUGCUGUUAAGAUGGCGGUGGUCAUCCAAAGGCUGCAGUGCGGGCUGCAGGAGCCAUCUGCAAGGUGUUUCCCGCCCCCUCCCCUUCAUGGCUGGUUGUGGAGAGGACUCCUCAGUUCCUGCCCACGUCGGUCUCUUCCCCCAUGCUACUUGAUUGAAUUGUCAUUAAAGCAUGGUGCCUCAAGAGAGGUGGAGGAAGAAGAGAGAAACUCUCUUAUGGCCUCACAAGAGCAAGCACACAGCAUCGCUUCUACCUCACUCAGCACACGAACGCCAAUCGACCAAACAGCCCACAACCCAAGGAAAGUCAACGAGUUGGUAAUCCUGUGUAAACACCGCUAAGGUCAUUGUAGCCCAGUGGUCCCCAGGCUGCUGACAGGUGUGUAACCCCACAUGGCUCCUGAGCUGUCCAUGGCUACACAGAGGAGGAAUCAGAAGGCAGCCACCUCCUCUCCCCCGUAUGAAUUUCACACAAGUACAUAUUACCAGCAGAUAGCACUACCCAGACGGAUACCAUCUUGUAGCCCAGAACCUCUUGCCAGGCCCGGCAAGCUCUGGCUCUUGAAGCCUGGGCAGAAUGAAGAACUGUCGUCUUGAGUUCUGGAGGAGAGGUAAGAGGGGAACACACCCAUUCGAAAUGGGAAAGGGACGAUGAAAGAGGGGAGUUUUACCUAGCAUCCUAACAUGUGAGACCCUGCAUUCUGUCCCGGAGGGUGUUGCAACGACAUUGACUAGAAGCCUACAGCAGAAGUGGAAAGAGAAUAGAGGCUUUCUGAAGAUGGUGCCAUUGAAGGAGGGUUUGGCGCCCCACUGUGGACAGUUUGGGCUUCUGCAGCUGAAGGAACUUGAGAUUUGGACUUGUGGAUGCUAUGAAAACUUCAGAAGAGGGCAGUAUCCCUAGGAAGAUACAGCAGUAAGCAGAGCCUAGAGGCCAGCCAGAGGGCUGCAUUAGCUCAGCCAGGCAGCUCAGCUCUGACACACACACACACACACACACACACUAACUUGGCAGCACAUAUAGUAAAAUUGGAUCAAUACACUAGCACAGUCCUGUAUAAGAAUCACACACACA
rnacentral:sRNA from 1 species